rnacentral:lncRNA from 1 species
CCCUCAUUAACAUUAUAAGAAUCCUAAAGAAAGAGACAGAGAGAGAGGCGGGAGAGAGAGAGCGGGGGGGAGAAAAAAGAGAGAGAGAGAGAGAGAGAGGGGGGUGAGAGAGAGGGUGGAGAAAAAGAGAGCGAGAGACAGAGGGGUAAGAGAGAAGGGGGGAGAAAAAGAGAGAGAGAGAGACAGAGGGAUAGAUGCCUUAAAGCUAGAUAGAUAGAUAGAUAGAUAGAUAGAUAGAUAGAUAGAUAGAUAGAUAGAUAGAUAGAUAGAUAGAUAGAUAGAUAGAUAGAUAGAUAGAUAGAUAGAUAGAUAGAUAGAUGCCAGAGGUGUUAUUCAUUAUAGUGACUACAGCAGUCUGCCAGAGAUGUUAUUCAUUAUAGUGACUACAGCAGUCUGCCAAGGAUGUUAUUCAUUCUAGUGACUACAGCAGUCUGCCAGAGAUGUUAUUCAUUCUAGUGACUACAGCAGUCUGCCGAGGAUGUUAUUCAUUCUAGUGACUACAGCAGUCUGCCAGAUGUUAUUCAUUAUAGUGACUACAGCAGUCUGCCGAGGAUGUUAUUCAUUCUAGUGACUACAGCAGUCUGCUGAGGAUGUUAUUCAUUCUAGUGACUACAGCAGUCUGCCAGAGAUGUUAUUCAUUCUAGUGACUACAGCAGUCUGCCGAGGAUGUUAUUCAUUCUAGUGACUACAGCAGUCUGCCGAGGAUGUUAUUCAUUCUAGUGACUACAGCAGUCUGUCAGAGAUGUUAUUCAUUCUAGUCACUACAGCAGUCUGCCGAGGACGUUAUUCAUUCUAGUGACUACAGCAGUCUGCCAGAGAUGUUAUUCAUUCUAGUGACUACAGCAGUCUGUCAGAGAUGUUAUUCAUUAUAGUGACUACAGCAGUCUGCCAGAGAUGUUAUUCAUUCUAGUGACUACAGCAGUCUGCUGAGGAUGUUAUUCAUUCUAGUGACUACAGCAGUCUGCCGAGGAUGUUAUUCAUUCUAGUGACUACAGCAGUCUGCCAGAGGUGUUAUUCAUUCUAGUGACUACAGCAGUCUGGCAGAGAUGUUAUUCAUUAUAGUGACUACAGCAGUCUGCCGAGGAUGUUAUUCAUUCUAGUGACUACAGCAAUCUGCCGAGGAUGUUAUUAAUUCUAGUGACUACAGCAGUCUGCCAGAGGGUUUAUUAAUUCUAGUGACUACAGCAGUCUGCCAGAGGGUUUAUUAAUUCUAGUGACUACAGCAGUCUGCCAGAGGGUUUAUUCAUUGUAGUGACUACAGCAGUCUGGCAGAGAUGUUAUUCAUUCUAGUGACUACAGCAGUCUGCCAGAGGGUUUAUUCAUUGUAGUGACUACAGCAGUCUGCCAGAGAUGUUAUUCAUUCUAGUGACUACAGCAGUCUGCCAGAGGGUUUAUUCAUUCUAGUGACUACAGCAGUCUGCCAGAGAUGUUAUUCAUUCUAGUGACUACAGCAGUCUGCCAGAGGGUUUAUUCAUUCUAGUGACUACAGCAGUCUGCCAGAGAUGUUAUUCAUUCUAGUGACUACAGCAGUCUGCCAGAGAUGUUAUUCAUUGUAGUGACUACAGCAGUCUGCUGAGGAUGUUAUUCAUUCUAGUGACUACAGCAGUCUGCCAGAGAUGUUAUUCAUUCUAGUGACUACAGCAGUCUGCCAGAGAUGUUAUUCAUUCUAGUGACUACAGCAGUAUGCUGAGGAUGUUAUUCAUUCUAGUGACUACAGCAGUCUG